rnacentral:tRNA from 1 species
GGUGAGAUGGCCGAGUGGUUAUGGCGCUGCGUUCAGGUAACCUGAAUUAAAAUUGAACAAAUUUCGCAGUGGAGCAAUCCGCGUGGGUUCGAGUCCCACUCUCAUCA